AGGGUGGAGUGUUGUUUAAAGGAAAUCUGCGAGGAGAGGCUGCUAAGAGCUAUGAAAAGAUAACAAAGAGAAUGCAGGAUAACUUUGGGGAUGUAUAUAAGCUUUUUCUUUUAAUUAAUCCAGAGGAUGAUAAACCUGUAGCUGUUGUUAUUCCAAGAAAGACCUUACAACCAGAGACAACAGCUGUCCCAGAAUGGUUUGCUGCCGCAGCGUUUGGACUGGUUACUGUAUUUACUCUACUUCUCCGAAAUGUCCCCGCAUUGCAAUCCAACUUA